rnacentral:rRNA from 1 species
AUUGAACGCUGGCGGCAGGCCUAACACAUGCAAGUCGAGCGAGCGGCGGACGGGUGUGUAAUGUAUGGGGACUGCCCGCUAGAGGGGGAUAACUACUGGAAACGGUGGCUAAUAUAGCAUACUCUCGAAUGACACAUAUGUGAUUAGCUAGUAGGUAAGGUAAUGGCUUACCUAGGCGACGAGCCCUAGCUGGUCUGAGAGGAUGACCAGCCACACUGGGACUGAGACACGGCCCAGACUCCUACGGAGGCAGCAGUGGGGAAUAUUGCACAAUGGGCGCAAGCCUGAUACAGCCAUGCCGCGUGUAUGAAGAAGGCCCUAGGGUUGUAAAGUACUUUCAGUCGGGAGGCGUUACCGACAGAAGAAGCACCGGCUAACUCCGUGCCAGCCGCCGCGGUAAUAC